AAAUGUUCAUUGUAAAUUUUGCUUCCCCACCCUGUAUUCCCUCAAAGUCAGUAUUUCUAAUUGAUAGGCCUGGUAUUCAUCGUCAGGCACUACUGGCUCCAAAUUCAGCCGAUACCGAUAUUUCAGAAAAUUUCCUAUUUGCACCCAUUAAUGCAUGUUCAGUUCAGUGAGAACUUUGUCACCAUAGAAGUUAGUGAAAUCCUUUCAUGUUUUGACUUCAUGCAUUAUACGAAUGAGGUCAGACAUGGAUGUAAAGUGCAGCUUCACAGCCUGUACAAACUACUGUGACAAGUAGAAUGAGAAUUUGUUGUACAUUUGUUUACCUCCAGGCUUUCUAAGACUCUUGUGUUCAUCUCAGUGGUGCUGGUGAACAGACAGGCUGGACCAGUUCACUCGAAUGUACUGUAGCUGUUUUUGUUCAGCAUGAGAAAACCUAACCUGCUGUGUCUGGCUACAAAAGUACUCUCAUUUACAAGUUAAGUAGAGCACUUUUCUUCUGCAGUCAGUCUUGCCAGAGGGUUAUGUUUGUGUGCUCCUUCUAUGAAUCAUCUAAACCCUCCAGGCAUGCAUUGAUCUGUCUUCUCCUGGUUACAUUUUCCAGACAGAAGCAAAGGAUCCUGCACUUAUUAAGCAGUAUGAUACACUGCUGCUUACCUUAUGGGGACGUCUGGCUUCUGAGUCCAAAACAAAAUGCGGAAAGAAUGCGAUCACAGUCAGAAAUAUAUUACAGUGGAGUAGGUUUCAUUGAUCUUUGGUUUUUGCUCGAUAAACCGAUGCUGCUGAUAUGAAGUGCUGUAGUGUGUCUAGUAGUGAAAAUAACACAUUCCUGCACAAGAAGGAUCUGUUAAGGGUUUGAUAGUGUUUUCCACUGCUGCCUACAGUCAGUUAAAUAUAUUCAAGUAUGAAUGAGUGAAAUGGAAAUCACUACUGCUUAGCAAACUUUUAAAGAAGCAUCAGAUUUCAUUAAAAAAAAAAGCUGCUGAACUACCACCAUAAGCACAGACCUUCCACUUAGGAACUCAGCGUAUGCGUAUCAGUUGGAUCAGAUGUAAUGGACGAGCAUUUACAUCAGACUGCAUGCCUCCUUUCUCUGUCUUGUGCAAGUCAUCUCACUCCGUGGCGUCCAGUCCAUUUGUCCAUCCGCCUGUCUGUCCGUCAUUGUCUGCUCGUCAGCAGCUGCUUCUUGAGUCAUAGUCUGCUCUAAUGUCUAAUGUCUAAGUGGACUCUCUGGAGCCAGAACUUAAAGCAGGGUGCUUGUGUAGAUCUUGAAAGUCUUGAAAAGUAUGGAAUUUUGAAAUGCUGUUUUCCAGACCUUGAAAAGUCUGGAAUUUUGUGUGAAAGUCUUAAUAAAAUAUGGAAAAAAUUUUCACUCAUCAUCAAAUUUUAGAGUAUACUCAAAGGCACAUAGUCUUGUCAGAUAAGAAAUAUAUGAGGAAAGCCUAU